GACGUAGGGCGCGAGCGUUGUCCGGAUUUAUUGGACGUAAAGAGCUCGUAGGCGGCUCGUUGCGUCGGCUGUGAAAACCCGCAGCUCAACUGUGGGCUUGCAGCUGAUACGGGCGGGCUGGGAUUCGGUAGGGGAGACUGGAAUUCCUGGUGUAGCGGUGAAAUGCGCAGAUAUCAGGAGGAACACCGGUGGCGAAGGCGGGUCUCUGGGCCGAUAUCGACGCUGAGGAGCGAAAGCGUGGGGAGCGAACAGG
rnacentral:rRNA from 1 species